rnacentral:rRNA from 1 species
CAGUCGCCGCGGGAAUACAGAGGGUGCGAGCGUUAAUCGGAUUUACUGGGCGUAAAGCGUGCGUAGGCGGCUUCUUAAGUCGGAUGUGAAAUCCCCGGGCUCAACCUGGGAACUGCAUCCAAAACUGGCAAGCUAGAGUAUGGUAGAGGGUGGUGGAAUUUCCUGUGUAGCGGUGAAAUGCGUAGAUAUAGGAAGGAACACCAGUGGCGAAGGCGACCACCUGGACUGAUACUGACACUGAGGUGCGAAAGCGUGGGGAGCAAACAGGAUUAGAUACCCCCGUAGUCCCUGUCUCUUAUAC